UAUUUUUAAAUUUCUGUUUUUAAAUUUUCUAUUAAAUAGACCUUUAAUUUUUUAUACAAAUUUUGGUAAUUGAUCUCAAUUUAGAUGCAUUGAGAAAAAUUAGUUUAAUAAAUUUUUAAAAAGCUAGUUUUGAAUGGUGAAAUUUCUCAAUUAUUUUUCACAAUUUUCCAUGCAAAUGAGAUGCUGGUAAAGAAAAAUAACCCGAUAGAAUGAAAAUUGAUGAAAGGCCAAGAUGUGCGCAUAAUAGAGGAAUUCGGGUUUGUUCAUAACGAGACAUUCAACGACAGCAUUCAAUUCAAAUAAAUACUGGCUUCCCUUUUCUCUUUGGGUGAAAAAUUUCUGGUUGAAAUUUCGAAUAGCACCGUUUUCCAGUGAGUGCGGAAACAAGAUACAGGAAAUUACAGAUCAAGGUUGAUUCUUGUCGAGAUCCAUUGAGUGAAGGGACUGAUACAUAUCGAGCUUUCAGAUCCGAUCAACCUUGUUUCUACAUAGAUGAGGCUGUUGCAUUUCGCUUUUGUGCUUGCUUUAGCUUCUGGAUUUGCCGCUAUACUCAUCUACAUUAACGGUGUCUCUAACCUAUAUGGGAAUUAUCAACUCUCCGACGAGGAUUUUGAAGCUCUGCAAUCUCUUCAGAGCAAUUUCCAGAAAUGUGUGAGUGCGAAUGGAUUAGGUUUACAAGCUGAAGGUGGUCAAGAUUAUUGCCUAGUUACAAUGAGGUUUCCUCAAGAUACCAUUCCCAAAUGGAAAGACCCUAAAACUGGUGAUCUUGAAGGUUUAUCAUAUGAAUUUAAUCUCUGCGAAGCUGUGGCUAUAUGGGAACAGGUGCGGAACAGUACCACCAUAUUGACCAGGGAGUACAUUGAUAGCUUGCCAAAUGGAUGGGAAGAGUAUGCUUGGCGUAGGAUAAACAAGGGAGUACUUCUUAAUCGUUGCGAGAAUAGAACUUUGUGCAUGGAGAAACUUUCCCUAGUACUUCCUGAAACACCACCAUAUGUACCAAAACAGUAUGGUCGUUGUGCCGUUGUGGGAAAUUCUGGAGAUCUCUUGAAAACCAAAUUUGGGGAGGAGAUAGAUGGUUUUGAUGUUGUUAUCAGGGAAAAUGGGGCUCCUAUCCAGAACUAUACAGACCAUGUGGGUAAAAAAAGCACCUUUCGUCUUCUUAAUAGAGGAUCUGCAAAAGCUCUGGAUAAAGUUGUGGAGUUAGAUGAAACAAGAAGGGAGGUUUUGUUGAUCAAAACAACAAUUCAUGACAUCAUGAACAAGAUGAUUAAGGAGGUUCCAAUAAAAAAUCCUGUUUAUCUCAUGCUUGGUGCUUCAUUUGGUUCUGCUGCAAAAGGAACUGGGCUCAAGGCUCUUGAGUUUGCUCUCUCUAUAUGUGAUUCCGUGGAUAUGUAUGGCUUUACUGUUGAUCCUGGUUAUAAAGAAUGGACAAGAUAUUUUUCAGAAUCUCGGCAAGGUCAUACACCUCUGCAUGGUAGGGCAUAUUACCAGAUGAUGGAAUGUUUGGGCCUUGUCAAAAUCCAUUCUCCAAUGCGACCUAACCCUAGCCGGGUGGUGAAGUGGGUACCAAGCCAAAAGAUGAUUAAUGUUGCUAGAGUUGCAUCUGAGAAACGAUUGAGGAAGGUUGGAGCAGGUUCUAGAGACCCGUUGGCUCCAUGUUCUAUCAUAAAAAAGCAAAGCAGAAGCAAGCCUAUAUCAAUUUCAAGCCUGCGCAAGCCUGCCGCUGACCAUAAAAAAUAUGUGAGUGGCACAACCAUGUAUCCUUUGGAGCAUAAUCCGGGUCGUGGUCUUCUUUGCACAGUGCCGCCAAGUUGAAUCCAUGGAUUAAUUGUUGAAGUUCAUUUCUAAUGAGACGUUGUGCAGCAAGAGGAUUGAAAGACAAGAAGGCAUUGUCCAUUUUUUCAAAGUACAAAACUUCCGCGUGCACAUCUUGGAGUCUUGAAACUUGGAAGUCCUGAAAUCUGUGCAUUCUUCAAUCAUUCUCUUUCUAGCAAUAGCACGAUCAUUCAUCACCGGGGACUGCAUUUAAAAGGUCUUAAUGGUUAUUUUUCACACACUGUUCGUGCAAUUUAGUUCGAAGAGUAAUUGCAAAUGCCCUUUGUCAUUCAGGCUUGUUCCUGCUCAUCGGAGAAACAAAUUUUUUCUCCUGUGAAGUCUGGACUGGUGAGGUAGGAUUUUUAAAUUGGAAGAAAAAAGAAAAAUUGCAAACACAUGUUGGUGGUUCCAAUAGUGCACACAGUCAAGCUUGGAGUAAAUGUGAGGUUCUCUUGAAACAAAAGCAACAUAUUGAGACUUUUAUGAAUAGGAUGUCUGAUCAAGUACGAGUUGAGUAUCAAACUCGAUUAGGUGCAUCAACUGAUUGUAUUCGAGUUUUAUUAAGACAAGGGCUUGCAUACUGUGGACAUGAUGAGACAAUGAUUCGAAGAAUGAAGAUAAUUUUAUUGAACUGUUAAUAGUACAAGUGCUCUAUCACUUAAGAUAGCAAUUGAUGAUUUCUUUUCUCGACAUGGGUUAAGCAUUACUAGUUUGCGAGGAUGAGGAUAUGACGAAGCAAGUAAUAUGCAAGGUGAAUUCAAUGGAUUGAAAGCACUUAUUUUGAAAGAAAAUGAAUGUGCUUUUUACAUUCAUUGUUUCUCUCAUCAACUCUAAUUAGCUCUUAUAGCUACUGUGUUAAAAUCAUGUAGUAAUUGCGGAUCUUUUUUUUAUUGUUAUAAAUGGGGU